GUACGUAACACUUAAAAAAAACACGAAGGGAGUAAACUGCAAAGCACUUAAACCGAAAUAUCGACAAACUGUAAACCGUUUUAGUCGAAGCAUUUAUGACAUGUUUCUAACUUACAAAUAAUCAACAUUUCACGCAAAUUCUUAUUAUUUUCCCUCAAAGUAAAAAAGUUUGUGCAGCCAGCCACAAUUUUUUUUUUUUAAAAAAAAAAAAAUCUUCUUCACUCUCCUCUUUUCUCUACUUUGCCCACCCAAACCCCCCUACGUCCUUUAUCACGAGCUCUUCCUCUUUUUAUCUUCUGUCUCCUCUUUCUCUUUCCUCUUUUCAUCUUCUCUCUCCUCUUUCUCUCUCCUAUUUCUCUUUCCUCUUUUCAUCUUCUCCAAUUAGGCAAUUAGCCCACCCAAACAAAGCUAUUUGGUGCGGCAGUAGUAGCGGUGGAGGAAGCUCCUCGUACUCCGUCUCCAUAAAAUAAGCUAGAGGUUUUCAAGGUCAACUUCAUCCAUGAAAACUCUAGAUCUAGAGUUUUCAUGGUCGAAUUUGGCCUUUUUAAUCGUAUUCGAAGUGAAAUUUGAAGUCACUAUUAAUUUUUAAGGUAUUUGUUCAUUUAAUUAAUUUUUUUUAACGAUUUUAAAUUUUUUUUUAGCUGGAUCUAGAGUUUGGGUGUGGUUUGGGUGUUGUCGUGGUGUGGGUCUGGUUGGAUGUGGUUUAGGUGUGGUUUGGUUUUGGAUUAGAUGAAUUUUGGUGGUGGUGGUUGUUGGUGGUGUGGUGUUGGUGGUGUGGGGCAGUGGGUGCGGCAGUUGGUGGUGGCGUGGUUGUUGGCGGCGUGAAUAUGGGAGUGAAUGUACAACAAGUGGUGUAGGUUGGUUGGGGGUUACUAGGUUAGAGGGGUUACUUGGUCUAGGGUUACUAAGUUGGUCAGGAGUUACUAGGUCGGGGGUUACUUGGUCAGUCAGGGGUUACUAGGUCGGGGGUUAGUAGGUCGGUUAGGGGUUACUUUGGGGGUACUAGGGGUUACUAGGUCGGGGGUUACUUGGUCAGGGGUUACUAAGGAGUCAGGGGUUACUUUGUUUGGGGGGUUACUUGAGGGGUUACUUAAGUGGGGUUACUAGAGAGGUUACUUAAGUAGGGUUACUAGAGGGAUUACUAGAUGGGUUACUUUAGGGGAUACUAGAGGAGUUACUGAUGUGGCAUCUUGCCGCACCAGAAACGCACUGAUAUAUAUAUAUGGAAAAUUUGUCAGAAAUAACCAUUUAAAGCAACUAUUUUGUCAGGAAAAACCUUAUAAAUUUUUUUUGUUCAACACAAUCAAAGGUGAGAAUUCGGCAUUGACUGAGUGUUUUCCGGCGUUGACCCAGCAUGUGUUGGUUACGUGCUCCUUUUUUUUCUAACUCCAACCAAUUAAUCCUUAUUACCCCCACUAAUUUCUCUCUAAAUCUCUCCUUUUAAUUUACCCUUUUUUUUCUUCUUAUUUCCCUGCUUCCUCUCUCUCCUCUCUCAAUCGUCGAGGUAAUUAAUUGAAGAUCUGGGCUUUUUGACAUGGCGGCGUCACUCCUCAAGCAUGAUUUUAAUUAAAGAACUUAAUUUCCACUCACCCUAAACAAACAAAGCAAGAAUUGCUGGAGUUGUGUCAUGUUCGAACAAGCUAAAAGGAACCAAUAACAAAGUUAUAUAUAAACCCAGGGUUUGAUUGAUGCUUUCAAGACAACCAUGCCAAUUGUAGAUAUAAGAUACUGCUUUAGGCACAUUUGGACAAACUUUAAGGGCAAAUUCUCAGGUGUAAACUAUAAAGAACAGUUCUUGAAGGUUGCUAGAUCUUCAACUUCUGUAAGAAGCUAAUCUUGGUGGUAAAUAUGUUGGGUGUUUGUUGAUUAAUGGCCUUAUUUACCUAAAUAACUUGAUUGAUGAUUCCAAUGCAAAACCAUUUCAAUACAAAUAUGGCAGCAAUUAAGAAAAUCAAUGAGGAUGCCUUCAAGUACUUAAGUGAGAUUCCAGCUGUGCAUUGGUCUAGGCAUGCUUUCACUUUUGCUAGUAAAUCUGGUAUGCUUCUUAAUAAUUGUUGUGAGAGUUUUAGUAAUGUAUUAAAAGAUGUUAGGUCAAAACCUAUUUUACAACUUAUGGAGUGGAUUAGGAGGUAUAUUAUGCAAAGGUGUCUUGCUAAAAGGGAGGAGUUAAAACACUUUGAGGGUCACAUAAUGCCUAGUAUUCAGAAAAUGGUGCAUCCAACUGAGAAGGUUGAACUAUGAAGAUUACAUACACCCUGCAUACCAUGUGAAAACUUGUGCCAAAACCUAUGCCUCUACCUUUAGAGCCAUGCCAGGAUAAUCCUAAUAGGAAGUCACACCUUACCCAAAACCAUUCACCCCUCCACAUAGAGUUAUGGUUGAAAGACCUAGUAAGAAGAAGAGAGUGAAGGAACCUAGGGAGGAUGAAGAGAGGAAAAAUGCGAAGAGGGCAAAGAAGCAAAAUACGUGAGGGAGAUGUGGUGGUCUUGGUCAUUACAAGACCAAUUCUUCAAUCUAAUCAUGCAAAAAAUGCCUAAAGGAAAGGUAAGAAAUGCUGAUGCUUUUCCUGGGGCAUCAGGUUCUCAAGCUACACCAACAGAGCCUGCCACCUCUCUACCUCAUCAUGUUAUUGCUUCUAUCAGAGCUCCCAAAACCAAAAGUUAGACAAAGGGGAAAACAGUUGCUGCUACAAUUACUAAGUCAAAGGGGAAGGAUCAUGUCCCUACUAUUACACCAGCACAAAAAAGGCAGUUGCAACAAAGCCUGUAUGCAAGAAGAAGAAAAGACUAAUCCUUCUUUCUGAACUUAGCCAAGCAUCACAAAGUUCAGCCUUUGCAACUGGACAUCCACCAGUGACACAGUCCCAAGAGCAGCCUACUCAGAGAAGUCAUUCAUGAUUUAUAUGUGCAUUGCUCUGUAUUUUGGUACAUGAACUAAGUUAAAUCUAUGUUCUUUUGUGAGCUAAUUGUGGUGAACUAAAUAACCCUCCUUUUGGUCUUUAUUUUCUUUUGUAAGACAAUUAAAUACAAUUAGCACAUUUUAAAUAGUGCUUAUUUUGUUGUCAAAUGCAGAUGUUUUUUUGCUACAUUUGUUAUAACAAUUAAAACACAUAAUCAAAAGUAGUUAAAAUGCAACUUUCAUUUCAUUUUCUGAUAAUUCUAAGUAACUAGACAGUACAUAUACUCUGCUUCCCUAAUUACCUAACUAACUUACUCAAAUACUAAACAAUUCUAGCCAAAGAGUUUCACAAAUAUGAAACUCACAACAACAGAUACAAUGACAUGAACACAAAUUAACUACCCAUAUUUAACCCGAUCUCCCAUUUUCAACCCAGCUGCAGUGUUCUUUCUCCCAAUUUUGUUUUACAGCUUCUCAACUUUUUGGCUAGUCUUUCCUUCUCAUGCUCAACACAUGCCAUCCUUGUUCUCAUAAUUCUUAGAUCGGUGCAAAGCCGGUGUUUCUCUACUACCAGAACAUUAGUUUACAUCUCUCUGCCAGUCUACAA